rnacentral:rRNA from 1 species
UACGGAGGAUCCAAGCGUUAUCCGGAUUUAUUGGGUUUAAAGGGUGCGUAGGCGGCCUGUUAAGUCAGGGGUGAAAGACGGUAGCUCAACUAUCGCAGUGCCCUUGAUACUGAUGGGCUUGAAUGGACUAGAGGUAGGCGGAAUGAGACAAGUAGCGGUGAAAUGCAUAGAUAUGUCUCAGAACACCGAUUGCGAAGGCAGCUUACUAUGGUAUUAUUGACGCUGAGGCACGAAAGCGUGGGGAUCAAACAGG